UCUACGGGAGGCAGCAGUGAGGAAUAUUGGUCAAUGGGCGAGAGCCUGAACCAGCCAAGUAGCGUGCAGGAUGACGGCCCUAUGGGUUGUAAACUGCUUUUAUGCGGGAAUAAGAUCAGAUACGUGUAUCUGCGUGCAUGUACCGCAUGAAUAAGGACCGGCUAAUUCCGUGCCAGCAGCCGCGGUAAUA
rnacentral:rRNA from 1 species